GUGAGCUUCUCCCUCUAUAAAUUGACAUUAUCAACAUCCUUUUGUUUUCACCGCCAGACAUCUUGUUUCCUCUCGCCAAAGAACCCUUCUCCUGCUCUGUGCAAGUUCUGGUGAGUGAUGUGCUGUGAACUGUGAAGAAUAUGCCUGGCUACAAACCUUCUUUGCUGAUAGAGUAUUCUCAGUCAUUUCGUUUUGUUAAGCUUAGCUCAUUCUCUACCAUAUUACAUGAUUUAUGUGUCGCGGAUUUUGAAUUCAGUAGCAACAUGAGUAAAGCUCGCAAGGAGCUAAUUUAUGCUUUGAGAUCAGACGUCUCCUUUUCUAAGAACAGUAGGUUCCCUGAUGAUGGUAUGUACGUUUGUGUCGACAAACCGCAGUUGUUUGCGCAAGUGGCGAAAGUGAUACGGGUGCUUGCGACCCCUUGCAGUCUGCUAACUGCCGCGGCCAUUAAUGACUAUUUUUCUGCGUUAGCUCGCAUGCAUGAGCUGAUCCAUUCACAAGAGGGCGAAGAUCGUGUAGUCUUCUCUAGGGAAACUUUUGAGAAUGAGUUUCUGUUGUUAUGGUGGGAUCAUUGAUUGUAAAUUUGUAGUGUUGUUGGCGAUGAUCUACUGUGUUAUCUUUAAGAAGUUUACCUCUAUAAUGACCUGUUCUUGAGUGUGAUACUCUUUGCUGUUCUUGCUUUGAUUUAUUUCGAAAACUAGAGAUUGAUGGGGAAAUUCAUGUACAAUAUCAAGUCACGACUUGUUUUUUUCACACAACUUUCCUUUGGCUCUAUCUAUGUCUUCCCUUUUCUGAA